AUUGAACGCUGGCGGCAGGCCUAACACAUGCAAGUCGAGCGGAGCGGCGGACGGGUGAGUAAUGCCUAGGAAUCUGCCUGGUCGUGGGGGAUAACGUCCGGAAACGGGCGCUAAUACCGCAUACUAUAAGCUACGCCUGGGUGGGAUGAGCUGGUGGGUGGGGUAAAGGCCUACCAAGGCGACGAUCCGUAACUGGUCUGAGAGGAUGAUCAGUCACACUGGAACUGAGACACGGUCCAGACUCCUACGGGAGGCAGCAGUGGGGAAUAUUGGACAAUGGGCGAAAGCCUGAUCCAGCCAUGCCGCGUGUGUGAAGAAGGUCUUCGGAUUGUAAAGCACUUUAAGUUGGGAGGCGUUACCAACAGAAUAAGCACCGGCUAACUUCGUGCCAGCAGCCGCGGUAAUUC
rnacentral:rRNA from 1 species